GACGAACGCUGGCGGCGUGCUUAACACAUGCAAGUCGAACGGAAAGGCCCUGCUUUUGUGGGGUGCUCGAGUGGCGAACGGGUGAGUAACACGUGAGUAACCUGCCCUUGACUUUGGGAUAACUUCAGGAAACUGGGGCUAAUACCGGAUAGGAGCUCCUGCUGCAUGGUGGGGGUUGGAAAGUUUCGGCGGUUGGGGAUGGACUCGCGGCUUAUCAGCUUGUUGGUGGGGUAGUGGCUUACCAAGGCUUUGACGGGUAGCCGGCCUGAGAGGGUGACCGGCCACAUUGGGACUGAGAUACGGCCCAGACUCCUACGGGAGGCAGCAGUGGGGAAUAUUGCACAAUGGGCGGAAGCCUGAUGCAGCAACGCCGCGUGCGGGAUGACGGCCUUCGGGUUGUAAACCGCUUUCGCCUGUGACGAAGCGUGAGUGACGGUAAUGGGUAAAGAAGCACCGGCUAACUACGUGCCAGCAGCCGCGGUGAUACGUAGGGUGCGAGCGUUGUCCGGAUUUAUUGGGCGUAAAGGGCUCGUAGGUGGUUGAUCGCGUCGGAAGUGUAAUCUUGGGGCUUAACCCUGAGCGUGCUUUCGAUACGGGUUGACUUGAGGAAGGUAGGGGAGAAUGGAAUUCCUGGUGGAGCGGUGGAAUGCGCAGAUAUCAGGAGGAACACCAGUGGCGAAGGCGGUUCUCUGGGCCUUUCCUGACGCUGAGGAGCGAAAGCGUGGGGAGCGAACAGGCUUAGAUACCCUGGUAGUCCACGCUGUAAACGGUGGGUACUAGGUGUGGGGUCCAUUCCACGGGUUCCGUGCCGUAGCUAACGCUUUAAGUACCCCGCCUGGGGAGUACGGCCGCAAGGCUAAGACUCAAAGGAAUUGACGGGGCCCCGCACAAGCGGCGGAGCAUGCGGAUUAAUUCGAUGCAACGCGUAGAACCUUACCUGGGUUUGACAUGGAUCGGGAGUGCUCAGAGAUGGGUGUGCCUCUUUUGGGGUCGGUUCACAGGUGGUGCAUGCCUGUCGUCAGCUCGUGUCGUGAGAUGUUGGGUUAAGUCCCGCAACGAGCGCAACCCUUGUUCACUGUUGCCAGCACGUUAUGGUGGGGACUCAGUGGAGACCGCCGGGGUCAACUCGGAGGAAGGUGGGGAUGACGUCAAGUCCUCAUGCCCCUUAUGUCCAGGGCUUCACGCAUGCUACAAUGGCUGGUACAGAGAGUGGCGAGCCUGUGAGGGUGAGCGAAUCUCGGAAAGCCGGUCUCAGUUCGGAUUGGGGUCUGCAACUCGACCUCAUGAAGUCGGAGUCGCUAGUAAUCGCAGAUCAGCAACGCUGCGGUGAAUACGUUCCCGGG
rnacentral:rRNA from 1 species